AUUUUGGCGGCGAGUAUUCCAUGACUGCGUCUGCGGUCCAGUUAUUCUAGUUUAGUUUUUGAGUGAUUAAUGCGUAUAUUUUUGUGUUUUGAGUGUGCACAAUUUUGUGGAAAUGUUAUUGUGUCAAUUAUUACAAAACAGAUUACCUGAUGUGGUCAGCUAUCACUUCAAGGGCUCUUCAUGGGCGUUAGGGUAA